rnacentral:rRNA from 1 species
GACGAACGCUGGCGGCGUGCCUAAUACAUGCAAGUCGAGCGGACCUCUUCGGAGGUUAGCGGCGGACGGGUGAGUAACACGUGGGCAACCUGCCUGUAAGACUGGGAUAACUUCGGGAAACCGGAGCUAAUACCGGAUAAUCCUUUCCCUCUCAUGAGGGAAAGCUGAAAGACGGUUUCGGCUGUCACUUACAGAUGGGCCCGCGGCGCAUUAGCUAGUUGGUGAGGUAACGGCUCACCAAGGCGACGAUGCGUAGCCGACCUGAGAGGGUGAUCGGCCACACUGUGACUGAGACACGGCCCAGACUCCUACGGGAGGGAGCAGUAGGGAAUCUUCCGCAAUGGACGAAAGUCUGACGGAGCAACGCCGCGUGAGCGAAGAAGGCCUUCGGGUCGUAAAGCUCUGUUGUCAGGGAAGAACAAGUAUCGGAGUAACUGCCGGUACCUUGACGGUACCUGACCAGAAAGCCACGGCUAACUACGUGCCAGCCGCCGCCGUAA